rnacentral:rRNA from 1 species
CGGCGAGCGAAAAGAAAUCAGUUCAGCACUAAGUCACUUUGUCUUUAUGGCAAAUGUGAGAUGCAGUGUAUGGAAUGUCAAAUUUCUAGUAUGAGAAAUUAACGAUUUAAGUCCUUCUUAAAUGAGGCCAUUUACCCAUAGAGGGUGCCAGGCCCGUAUAACGUUAAUGAUUACUAGAUGGCAUUUCCAAAGAGUCGUGUUGCUUGAUAGUGCAGCACUAAGUGGGUGGUAAACUCCAUCUAAAACUAAAUAUAACCAUGAGACCGAUAGUAAACAAGUACCGUGAGGGAAAGUUGAAAAGAACUCUGAAUAGAGAGUUAAAUAGUACGUGAAACUGCUUAGAGGUUAAGCCCGAUGAACCUGAAUAUCCAUUAUAGAAAAUUCAUCAUUAUGAUUUUAAUAUUUAUAAUAUUAUAAUAAUGGUGUGCAUUUUUUCUAUAACGGACAUUGUAAUCUAUUAACAUAAAUAUAUUUAUCAUAAGAUCAAUGAUGCGUAAGUUUAUUCAAAUUAUUUUGCUUGCAAUUUAACAUAGAAUAAAUGCUCUUGAUUUGAUAAAGUGUUGAUAGAUUUAUUGUAUAUAGUGCUUAAAUAUUUAUAUUUUAUAAUAGCAUAUUAAUCAUUGAUUUUUAUGUUUAUUAUAUGCACUUAUAUGAUUAACAAUGCGAAAGAUUCAGGAUACCUUCGGGACCCGUCUUGAAACACGGACCAAGGAGUCUAACAUAUUUGCAAGUUAUUGGGUAUCAAAACCUAAUAGCGAAAUUAACAUAACUUUAAUGGGAUUAGUUUUUAGAUUAUUUAUAGUCUAUUAAUUCAAUCCCGGGGCGUUCUAUAUAGUUAUGUAUAAUAAUAUUUAUAUUAUUUAUACCUCUAACUAGAGCGUACCUUGAGCAUAUAUGCUGUGACCCGAAAGAUGGUGAACUAUACUUGAUCAGGUUGAAGUCAGGGGAAACCCUGAUGGAAGACCGAAACAGUUCUGACGUGCAAAUCGAUUGUCAGAAUUGAG